GUGCCAGCCGCCGCGGUAAUACGUAGGUGGCAAGCGUUGUCCGGAAUUACUGGGCGUAAAGGGCGUGUAGGCGGCCUUUUAAGUCAGACGUGAAAACCCUGGGCUUAACCCAGGAACUGCGUUUGAAACUGGAGGGCUUGAGGACCGGAGAGGGUAGUGGAAUUCCCAGUGUAGCGGUGAAAUGCGUAGAUAUUGGGAGGAACACCAGUGGCGAAGGCGACUGCCUGGACGGCACCUGACGCUGAGGCGCGAAAGCUAGGGGAGCAAACGGGAUUAGAAACCCGUGUAGUCC
rnacentral:rRNA from 1 species